rnacentral:rRNA from 1 species
CGGCAGACGGGUGAGUAACGCGUGGGAACAUACCUUUUGGUUCGGAACAACACAGGGAGACUUGUGCUAAUACCGGAUAAGCCCUUACGGGGAAAGAUUUAUCGCCGAAAGAUUGGCCCGCGUCUGAUUAGCUAGUUGGUGAGGUAACGGCUCACCAAGGCGACGAUCAGUAGCUGGUCUGAGAGGAUGAUCAGCCACAUUGGGACUGAGACACGGCCCAA